GACUCUUACUUUCAAAAAUAUUUUUUGUCUAGCAUGUGAGGCUGUUUGAUAGCAUUUUACCCACAGUAGAACUUCUUUCCAAAUUGGAGUCAGUCUUCUCAAACCCUACCACUGCUUUAUCACCUACAUGUAUAUAAUAUUCUGAAUCCUCUGUUGUCAUUUCAACAGUCUUCACAGCAUCUUCAGCAGGAGUACAUUCCAUCUCAAGAAACCACUUUCUUUGUUCAUCCAUAAGAAGCAACUUCUUAUCCACGUGAAUGUAGCACUGCUCCAUGAAAAUUUGGUCCUAGAGGUACAACCGGAAUUUAGCAAAUGCCACUGGAAGCAGUUACAUCAAUCCAAGUAGGAGAAAGGAGAGUAGCAGAUGCAGAAAAUGGUCUUCUGUUUGAUCUGCAGCAAGAAGAAAACACUGCUCCUCUACUACAUGAUGCACUUGGCUUCUAAACCCCAAGCUAACCAGACUGUCCUAUAUCCUCUAUCUGCUCCAUUCACCUGUAUAUCCCUUCUUGUGGAGCCAUGGAAAACCGUGGAGCAAGGCAAGGUGGGGAUUACCUCCAUCUUUUUCAAGACACACAUUAUUGUGAUAUCUUUAAGUACUGUUGACCUUCCAGCUAUAGAUAUCCCCACACGAAAAUUGUACAGUUUUGAUAUUCAAAAGUACCCCCAAAUCUCAGAAAAUACAUAAAAGGUGUAUUUUUGUUUGUUUUGUUUUUUUUCCUCCUCCAUGAUAAAGGAGGGAACUGAAAAGGGCAAUGUGGUAAAAUGUCUAAGUUUCCAGAAUGCUCUGUCAGAACAUAGCAACAUAUUCCACUCCACUGAGAUGGAAUUAAGGGUGUUGCAGCUCAACAAACACGGAGUUGAGGAAUGAAACAGUCUCCAUGACUCCAGACACACUCUAUUUCUAGUCUGUUACUCAUUUGCCAUCUUUUUCUAUUGGGAACUUGCAUAUUGCCUCUUGUGUCUUUCUGCGCUCACUGUGGCUCAGGCCAUCACUGUUGAUUUUCACAGGCUUGAGAGUAGGGAAUUAGUGCCUCAAAUGCUUACCUCCAGUAAUGAUAACAUUUCUUGAAUAUUUACUGUGUGUAGGCUGUUCAAAUUUUGUGUGUAUGUGUGUGAGCUUUUAAGUAUAACAGGCUUAUACAUAAGUAGAUGAAACAUGUACAGCUGUAGGAGUUGUUACAAAAUGAACAUACCCAGGUUAACCACUACCCUGACCAUGCUGCUUCUCUACCACUAAUACAUAGCUACUCUCCCCAUCCCCAAAUAUAACCUGUAUUCUGACUUCAAAUACCAUAUAUUAAC